rnacentral:misc_RNA from 1 species
CAUCAUCGGGGAGUUGGAUCCAGAUUGUGGGGCUUCGGUCUCGCUUUCUGCCCUUCUCUUACUGAUUAUACCCAUGUCUUUUGCGUACUAUUUGUUUCCUUGGUGGGCUUGCCUGCCACGAGGACCAACAAAAACCUUUGUAGUAGCAGUAUCUUCAGUAAAAACAAAUAUUAAAACUUUCAACAACGGAUCUCUUGGUUCU